rnacentral:misc_RNA from 1 species
AACGGUCUAUACCUGCGGUACCUGCGGAGGGAUCAUUAUUGAAUUAUGUUUCUAGAUGGGCUGUAGCUGGCUCUUUGGAGCAUGUGCACGCCUGUUUGGACUUCAUCUUCAUCCACCUGUGCACCUAUUGUAGUCUUUGGUUGGGGGGGUAGCGAGGAAGUCGGUCAGCCUUAUCAGCAUCUGCUGGAUGUGAGGACUUGCGUUGUGAAAGCAUUGCUGUCCUUUACUUUGGCCACGGAG